AUACCCGGGUAGUCCCAGCCGUAAACGAUGCGCGUUAGGUGUAUCGAUGACCACGAGUCAUCGAGGUGCCGAAGAGAAAUCGUGAAACGUGCCGCCUGGGAAGUACGGUCGCAAGGCUGAAACUUAAAGGAAUUGGCGGGGGAGCACCACAACAGGUGGAGCCUGCGGUUUAAUCGGACUCAACGCCGGAAAUCUCACCGGAUAAGACAGCUGUAUGAUAGUCGGGCUGAAGACUCUACUUGACUAGCUGAGAGGAGGUGCAUGGCCGUCGCCAGUUCGUACUGUGAAGCAUCCUGUUAAGUCAGGCAACGAGCGAGACCCACGCCAACAGUUGCCAGCUCGUCCUCCGGGAUGGUGGGGACACUGUUGGGACCGCCUCUGCUAAAGAGGAGGAAGGAAUGGGCAACGGUAGGUCAGCAUGCCCCGAAUUAUCCGGGCUACACGCGGGCUACAAUGGGUGGGACAAUGGGUAUCGACACCGAAAGGUGAAGGCAAUCUCCUAAACCCAUCCUUAGUUCGGAUUGUGGGCUGCAACUCGCCCACAUGAAGCUGGAAUCUGUAGUAAUCG
rnacentral:rRNA from 1 species